rnacentral:rRNA from 1 species
UACGAAGGGGGCUAGCGUUGUUCGGAAUUACUGGGCGUAAAGCGCGCGCAGGCGGUUUUUCAAGUCAGUGGUGAAAGCCCGGAGCUCAACUCCGGAACUGCCAUUGAAACUGUAAAACUUGAGGACGAGAGAGGUGAGUGGAAUUCCCAGUGUAGAGGUGAAAUUCGUAGAUAUUAGGAAGAACACCAGUGGCGAAGGCGGCUCACUGGCCCGGUACUGACGCUGAGGCGCGAAAGCGUGGGGAGCAAACAGG